AUGAUAUCAAACAGUAUUUCCCUCAGUUUGGGUUCUCAGUUUAUACGGUGUUCAUUGCGACUUGGAAUUGGAUGCCCUACUUGAACAGCUCCACGACGGAAUCCUCCUUUCAAGUCGUUUUAGUCAUUUGCAGAAGUCUUUCUUUUGUCAUAAUGAACUACGGAAAUGUAUCUUCAACUGAUGAAAGUUUUCAGGCUGGCUAUGACACAAUAAACUCAACAGAUUAUUUUU